AGCGGGGACUCCGGGGCACGGGCGGGAGCCGCCAAUUUCCCGGAAGCUUGCUGGUAUGUUUUUAAGGUUCCAGCCAUCAUGACAUCAUAAUGAGGCUAACAGUGGUCACUGACAGGGCCUUGCUAGUGACCAGGUAAGUGAUAAAGUGGGUCUUACCACAGUACAGACGGGCUCUUCUUCAGUCUCUAGGUGAGUAAGGGUGGUAUCCCUAACACAGUGCUGUUGUCAUUUUUACAGGUAUCCCAUUACUUUCUGAGCUGGUAUAUAAAUAUGAAGUGAUGUGCUAAUAACUCAUUAGAGACCUUCUUAUCUUCAGAUAGGUAUUUCAUGUUUCCUAGACCUUUAUAUUGAUCUUGUUUCUGGCAUAUGUACAGUUCAGAGAUUAAUUUGUCUGUAAAAAUGCUGGUAAGCCUGCGAUUUUACUGUCCCCUUUUCGUAAAUAACGUGUUUUUUUACACCCACAUCAAUAGAUUUACAGUCACUUACCCAGAUAAUUUAUCAGAUAUUCCAUGCCCAUGAUAUUGACCAUGGGAUUUUUGUAAGUAUCCACUCAGAAAAGUGAGUUAUGUCUAAGUAGAAUCUAACCCUUGAGUUGUGCAAUUACCCAGUAAUACGGAUGGGUCCCCAAAUACUGCACUUGACGAAGGGAAUUUGCUGUUGUCCAGGUGGACUGAAACGUGUGAGAACACAUUAUCUCUGGUGUGUUUUCAGGUUCAUGUGAAGACAUCUUGGGGAACCCAUCCGUCAGAGUUAAUGAGGCACAUAGCGGGUACUGAGGUAAGUGGUGGUGGGGGCCUAACCCACAGCACAGACCGCCUCAUCUUCAGGUAUCUAGGUAAGUGAUGAUGGUGUCCUAACACUUCUUAUUACCAUGAUUUUGGUAUAGAUACUCAGAUAAGGAGUGAUAAGACUCCUUACUGAUUCUAGUGACCUUGAGUGUACGCUUUUUACCUCUUCGAGAUAACCCCUGUGGGUGCUCAGGGUUGGUUGUGUCUCAAGGAGUCCUCACCCCAGAGCGACCAGUGUUUUCUCAGGAGUCGGCCAUGCAAGGGCCCAAGUGGAGCUCUUGUGUUCCCUGAUAGUGGAAGUGAAAAGGAUUAUUAGCGGGUGUUCUGGUAGAACAAGUUGUGUCCUCCAACACAUUUGUCCCACGUGUGUCUUCAGGUUCUUGUCAAGAGAACAGAGUGAGCCUAAAAUGGUUUAAUGGAACCUUGCUAUUAACCAGGUUAGUGAUAAAGCGGGUCCUCCCGCUCUGCAAACCAUCUGAUCUGCAAGAUGAAGAUAGGUCCCGAUGAUGUCCCCAGCACUGGCGUUAUAAGUGGUGUGUGCUGUUGGUUAUGUUACUUGUGUUAUGUUUGCAGGUAUCCUGUUCAGGUCAUUGCUACUACACAGGUAUGAGAUGAUAUGACAUUAACUCAUCAAUGACACCUUAUUUCAUAGAUCCACAUAGUUAAUGUUGGAGGCAUAUUUAUCUUGUUUUGGGCAUAUGUGCCGUUAAAUCAGUUUGACCCUAAUGAUACUAGUAAAUAUGCGAUUCUUUGUGCUCCUGUUUGGGGAUACUACAUAAUCCGGGCAGUGUAUCAUAUUGCUAUGAUCCUGGUAUUGACUGGGGGAAUUUUGUCAGGUAUCCCAUCAAGAGGAGGAGGUCUUUUCUUAGGGUUUCACCUCGAUGUUUCACAAGUGUCCAGGUGGUGUCAAUGGGUCCAGGUGACCAAGGGAAUUUGCAGGUGUGGAGGUAGAAUGAUUCAUGGACCCAACGCAUUUUCCAGGGUGCUAUCUCAGGUUCGUGCCAAGACAUGACAGAGAGCCCGUUAAUGACAGUUAAUGUGAGACAGUGCUGAUAUGGAGGUAAUCAGUGAGCUGAGGGCCUAAACCACAGCAUAUUCCAUCUGACCUUGACACAUCUAGGUAAGUGUCAUGUGUCCUCACACUUUGCUUGCCAUGAUAUUUUUUAAGGUAUGAAAUGAUAGCAUCCUUGCCAAUUCCAGAGACCGUGUGUUUUCACCUCUUAUAUUUCUUGGAAUGGUCAUUUUUAGCCCUGUGAGUAUGAAGGAUUACAUAGGUACAGUUGUUUGUCGUGGCUUCUCAAUGACACUACCAGCCACAGGGUGUUCACAAGUAUGCAGUCAUAGCAGUGUGGUUUUACCAGACAUUGGUAUUAACCUUGGAUUACUGCAAGUGGCCAGGGGGACACUUUAUGUGUCUCAUAAUGAGGAAGUGCCCAAUGUUAUUUGGCAGUGUCCUGGUAGAAGAAGUGAUGCCAUCUAAUGCACAUUCCAUAAUGUCUUCCCCAGUUCCUGUCAAGAAAUCGCAGUGAACCUAACGCUACUCGUGAGUGGAGGGCAUUGUGGGUGUGCAGGUAAGUGAUGAUGUGGGCCUGUGCCACAGCACAGCCACUCUUCAGGAAGUUAGGUAAUGGUAAUUAAUGGCUUCCCUAACGACCAUUGUUACCAUUCUUUCUUUAAAGGUAUUCAAGUAGAAAAUGAUAGUUCUUAACAAUUCUGGAAACCCUGGCGUUUUCCUUUUUAUAUUUUAGGGAAAAUGUUCAUCCCUGUGAGUGGUGAGGGAUUGCCAUAUCCCGGUAAUUAGCAUACCCUUGCUGACCCCAGCAGCAGCCAUGGGAACUUUGCAGGUGUCCGUAGUGAGAUGGUGUCGCAUCAGACAUGGCCAUGGUCUCGGGGUACUGCCAGCGUUCAGGUGGACGUGACAUUCUCAUAAGGAAGGAAAGGUCUGGGAUAAUUUGCAGUGGUCUGCUCCAACCAGUUCUGCUCCUUUCACACACGUCGUCGGUUUUGAGGUUCCUAUCAAGAGACCAAGGUUAACUUCCUGGUUGUUCACGGGACGUUUCUGGUAUCCAGCUAAGUGAAGAUGUGCACCUUCACCACAUCGGGCCCUCUGAUCCUCACGUAUCGAGGGAAGUGAGGUCAGUUGGCUAAACUUGUUUUGCCAUGUGAGUUAUUUCAGGUAUUCAGGUAAGAAAAGAGAGUACUGUAUAAAUUCCAGCAAUCUUGUGAUCCUACUGCUUCCCAUUGAUGAGAAAAUGUGUUUUUAACUGUGUGAGUGUCGAGCGCAUUGUGGGUAUCCACGUGAUGAUGGAGUUGGGCGGCACAGUGGUAACUUUGGUGGUGUUGCAGGUGAGUCAGGACGAGGUGAUGGUGUUUCUAACGAGGGCGCAGACCUGGGAGUGCUGCGAGAGCCCAUGUGGAGCUGAUACGGGUCCUACAGUGAUGACAGCGAUCAAGCCUAUUUGCAGUGUCCUAGUAGAAAGGCCUGUCCAUAGACCCUUUAGUUUCAAAGUCUUCUUUAACUUCCUGUCAAGAAGCCAUGGUGCCUUGAUCAUUAAUGGUAGUUAAUGGUGCUUUGUUUGCAUCCAGGUGUGUGAGGCUGUAGAUCUUAAUCACCCUACAGCAAUCUGAUGUUCAGAUAUGUAGGUAUGUGUGGAUGGGGUUCCUAACUAUUCUGUUACCAUAUUUUUACGCAGGUAUUCAGUGAGGAAAUGAUAUUGUCCUAACCAGUGCUAGUACAUAUUUGCUGUCAUUUUUUUUUUUUUCAGAAUUUAGAUAUAAUGUGUGGUUAAGCUUAGUAGGGACAGAAGGAUAUGCACAUCCAGGUAACCUAUCCUACACUGCACACCACAGUAUUGGCCAUAAGAUUUCUGCAGUUACUCAGAGAAGAGAGCAUAGUGCAUGUAACAGUGGCAUUGACCUUGAAGUUCUGCUAAGACCCAGGUAUGUGUGUAGGCUUCCCCCAGGGGUGGAAGUGACCACGAUUAUUACUGGUGAAUGUACCUCUUUUCUUGCAGUUAAACAACUUGCAUGCUUCAACACACUUGUGGGAAGUGUUUUUCAAGGUUCUGGCAGUCAUGACAUCUCAGUGAACCAAACAAUAGUUGUUAAUGGGACCUUGGUGGUGACCACACAUGUGAUGAAGUGGGUCCUGCCGCAGCACAGAUCAUCUCAUCUUCACAUAUCCAGGUGAGUGAGGGUGGUGUCUGUAACACUGUGACCCAAGCUUUUGUUUAGGUUUCCCAGUAAGUUCUUUGCUACUGCACACAUAGGAGAUGAUGUAACAUUAACUCAUUAGACACCUUAUUUUCAGGUAUGCAGGUACUUAAUGAUAUUUUCUAGACUCCCACCUUGUUUGGCAUGUAUGCAGGUCAGAAACUGAUUCAUCCCUUACAGUAUUGGUAAGCAUGAGAUAUCACUGUAUCCUUCAGAGAUCAUUUUUUUGCACUCAUUGUGUUGGACAGAUGGACAGGUAUCCAGGUAAUCUGUCAUAUCUUCCAUACCAUGAUACUGACCAUGGGGUUUUUCUCAGGUGUCCCUUCAACAGAGGAAGGUGUCCUCACUAGGGUUUGACCUGGGGCUUCUGCAGUUAUCCAGGUAAUGUUUAUACAUCCCUACAUCAUACAAUGGGUCAAGGGACUUUGCAGAUAUACAGGUAGAAUGAGAUGUGUGCUGAACACAUUUUGUACAAUGUGUUUUUCCAGAUUCAUGUCAAGAUAGCCAGGUGAGCCAGUCAGUGGUGGUUAACCUGGAACAAGGCUGGCAUCGAGCAAGUGCAGCUGUGGUCCUAAACCCUAGCACAGGCCAUCUGACCUUGAUAGAUAUAGGUAACUGGUGACGUGUCCUCACUCCCCUGUUUCUGUGAUGUUUUUGGCUAGUAUUUGGGUAAGAAAUGAGAGUUUUACCAAUUCUAGAAAAGACGAGUUUUGACUUUCUAUAUUAGAAAAUGUUACAUUUAACCCUGUGAGUGAAGGAUUGCACAUAUCCUGGUAUGUAUCCUGGUGUCCCCACCACCCUGCUACCCAAGGUUUUUGGCUGCUGUCCAGUGAUGGAAUGCUGAGUUCUGUCUGACGUCUGUACUGAUCUUUGAUUACUGAAAAUAUCCAUGCACAGUUGGUGUAUCUGUAAUGAUGAAGGGGCCAGGUCAUUUGCAGAUAUCCUGGUAGAAAAAGUUGUGUUUUUUAGCACAGACUUCAUAAUGUCUUUCAGGUGCCUGUCAGGCCAGCACUGUGAGCCUCUCAUUGAUGUAAUCAGGGGCACUGCUGGUGUGCAGGUAAGUGUAUUGCUAAGUUACCCUCCUGUUGCACACCACAAUACUGACCAUGAGAUUUCUACAGGUCCUCAGAGAUGGUGUGUCUCUGUCACUGAUGUUGACAUUGAAGUUCUGCAAGGUCCAGGUGUUGCUAAUGGUUCCCUUUAUGAGGUGACUGCAAUUAUGUGCUGGUGCUUUGUUUGUUAAAGAUAAAACAAGUUGUAUCCUAGCCCUUAAGCACACUUCUCAUAUGCCUUUUUUAAAGGUUCCAGCAGUCAUGAUAUCUACAGUGAACCUAAGAAUGGUUGCGGUGGGACCAUACAGAUCAUUUGCUCUUCAGAUAUCUAGGUAUGUGAGGAUGGUGUCUCUCAGCACAGUGUUAACAUGUUUGUUAAGGUCUUGGCUAGUGUAAAGGUAUGAGAUAACGUGGCACUCAUUAGAGACAUCCUCAAUUUCACUAUCUACAAAUUAAUGUUUUGGACACUCAUAUUUACAUAGUUUUUGUCAUGUGUGUUGUUAAAUUUGUUCUUAAUACAGGUAAGAAUGAUAUUUUUAUAUACUCCUUUACAGAUAAUAUGUACUUAAUACUAUGAAUGGAAAAGGAAUAUGCAGGUAUUCAUGUAAUUUAUCAGAUUGUCCUUCACAGCACUAUUGACUAAGGGGCCAUAGCAGGUAUCCCUUCAGGAGCGGAAGGUGUCUCCUCCUGGAGUUUUAUGUCAUCAUCUGAUUUUUCCAGGUAGUGUUGACAGAUCCUGAAGUGAUACAAGUGCAAGGGAAUUUGCAUGUGUACAGGUAGAAUGAGACAUGUACCCAGUAGAUUUACUGUACUGUGUUUUCCAGAUUCAUGUCAACACAUCACAGUAAGCCCGUCAGUGGUGGUUAGCAUUGGUUGUAGUUGGUAUGGAGGUAAGUGAUGGUGGGGGCUGAAACCGUAGCGUGUUCCUUCUGACCUUCAUACAUCUAAGGAAGUCAUGACGCAUCACGCUUUUUGUGGCCAUGCGUUUUUUGCCAGUUGGCAGGUAAGUAAUUACAGAGACCUUACAAAUUCUAGUGACCACAUUAUACUAUUGUUUAUAUUUUAGAAAAAAAUGUGUUUAACCAUAUGAUCAUUGAGCUAUUUGCAAAAAUCCAUGUAUUUAUUCAUGGAGCUACAAGUAACAGUAAUUAGCUUGUGUUAUUUUUUCAGGAGUGUGGUCAAGAAAUGAUGGUGUUUCUAACAAUGGCGUAGCUCUUAGUGCACUGCGAGAUUUCACAUAGAGUUGGUGGGUCCUGCAGUGAUGACAGGUGUCACAAGGUUAUUUUCAGGAUCCAGGUAUGGAAGUUAUGACUGUAGAUGGAUUUGUCACAGUGUGUUUCCAGGUUUCUAUGUAGAUAUCAUGGUGAACUUUAUAAGGAUCCCUUUAUAAAGGGGCACUGCUGGUAUCCAGGUAAGGAAUAAUGUAUUAUCAUGCUUUUUGCAGGUAUUCAAUUAAGAAUGAUAUUGUCCCAACCAACGCCAGUAAGCAUUAAUCCUUAUUAUUUUAGAGCUUUGACAGAAAGUGUGUUUAACCUUAGUAGCAAGUGAGAGAUAUGCAGGUGUCCAGGUAACUUAUUCUACUGUUCCACACCACGGUAUUUACAAUGAGAUUUCUACAGGUAUUCAGAAGAGAGAUGAUGGUGCCUCUAACAAUGGCUUUUAGCUUGAGAUUCUGGCAAAAUCCAGGUAGUGCUGCUGGUUCCUAUGGUGAUGGAAGUGUCUGAUUAUUUGCAAGUGUUUGUGUGUUCAUUGUCAACAGGACAAGCUUUUUGUCCUUCAACACACUUGGCUAAUGCGUUGUCGGUUUCCAGCAGUCAUGAGAUCACAGUGACUCUACCAAUGGUUGUUAACAGGAACUUGUUAGUAACCAAGUGAUGAGUCUUACCUCAGUACAGACCCUCUGAUCUUCAGAUAUCUAGGUGAGUGAGUCAGGUUUCCCUAACACACUGUUACCUUGUUUUGCAAGUGUCCCUCACUCCUUUUCUGGUGCACAGAUAUGAGAUCAAGUGGCAAUAACUCAUGUUUUCCUAUAUGUGAAUAAUGAUCUUUUCAAGACUAUAUUAACAAUGUUUCUAGCAUAUAUGCAGUUCAGAAAUUAAUGUGACCUAAACAAUACUAGUAAACAUGAGAUUUUACUGUAUUCUUGUUCAAAGAUGAUAUGUUUCAUACACCUGUAGUGAUAGAUGGGUAGACAGAGCCAGGUAGUUCUCCUACUGUCCACCACCACAUUAUAGACCAUGGGAUUUCUGCAGGAAUCCCUUCAAGACAGGAAGGUAUCUCUUACUAGGGUUUAACCUCACAUUUCUAGAGUUAUCCAGAUAAUGUUGGUGAGGCUCAAAAGGAUACAAAUGACCAAGGAUUUGCAGGCAUCCCAAUAGAAUAAGAUGUGUACAAAACACAUCUACGUUUUUUUUUUUCAGGUUCAUGGGGAGAUUUCACUGUGGGCCUAUCCAUGCUAGUUAAUAAAAUCCAUAGCAAGUACUGAGGUAAGUGAUGAUGUAGGCCUUAACCAUAAAAUGGAUCAUAUGAUUUUCCUACAUAUAAGUGGUGAUGGUGUACCUAACACUCAUGUUAUCAAAUGUUUGUGCAGGUAUCCUGUUCAGAUGUUUGGUCAUACGCAGGUAUGAGAUGAUGUGACACUGAUUCAUUGUAGAUCUUAUUUUCAGAUAGGGGUCUUAAAAAUAAUUAUUACAUAGCUAACUUGUUGUUGGCAGGUAUGUUAAAUUAAUUUGUCCCUAAUAGUACUAGCAAGCAGUAGUUUUUCCUGUAGUCUUGUCAAGAGAGAAUGUGUAUUUUUCACUCAUACUGGUAGACAGGCUGCAAGUAUCCAGGUAAUUUAUCAUAUUGUUCUAAUUACAUGAGUAACCACGGAGUUUUUGCAGGUAUCCAUUCAAGAGUGGAAAGUAUAUCUUACUAGGGUUUAACCUCAGAGUUCUGUGAGUAUCCAGGUAACAUUGAUGGGUCCCAAAUUGAUACAAGGAUGAGGGAAUUUGCAGGUGCACAGGGAGAGAGAGACAUGUACCAACACAUUUUCCACCAUUUGUUUUUCUGGCAUGCCAAGAGAUUGUAGUGAGCUUAUCUGUGGCAAUUAAUGGGGCACACUGCUGGUAUUGAGGUAAGUUAAGGUGUAGGCCUACACCACAGCACAGACUGUCUGAUCUCCUUCUGUCUAGGUAAGUAGUGAUGUGUGCCAGCACUUCUUAUUACCGUAAUUCUGUUGCAUGUAUUCAGGUAAGAAAUGAGAGCAUCCUGACCAAUUCUAGAGACCAUGAGUUUUUACUUUGUGUAUUUUAGGCAAAAUUUAUAUCUAACACAAUGAAUGUUGUGUUUAUUGCAGAUGUUUAUCAUGGUUUUCCUGCCACACUACUACCCUAGGAUCUUUACAGCGUCCAGCCAAGAAAUGGUGUUUUUCUGACCUCGGUGUUGCCCUGGGAUUACUGCAAGUAGCCAAGUAGAGUUAACGUAUUCCGUAAUGAUGAAAUGGCCAAGCUUGUUUGCAUCUGUACCGAUAGAAAAAUUAUAUCCUUUAACGUAUGUUUCAUAACAUUUUUUUCAGGUUCUGUCCAGAGAUGACAAUGAACCUAAAAUGGGUCAUUAAUGGGGACACUGCAGGUAUGCAGGUAAGUGAUGAUAGGGGCGCAACCGACAGCACAGAACAUCUGAUCUCCAGAUAUCUUAGUGAUGACGGUGUCCCUCACACUUGUUACCGUGAUUUCUUGGCAGGCACUCAGGUAGGAAACGACAGAUCCCUUAGCAGUCUAGAAAUCAUGAGUUUUCAUGUUGUAUGUGUUAGAGGAAUUUUUUGUUUCUCUAUGUGAGUGUUCAGUCAUAUCACAUAUCCAGGUAAUUAUCGUGAUAUUCUCAGCCAUGGUAGAGACUAUGGAAAUUUUGCAGGUUUCCUGGUAAGAAAUGUUGUGUUACCUGACAAUGUUCUUGAUCUUGUCGUAGAGUUGAUGUUCUCAUUCUGAGGAAAGUGAUGAAUGUCAUUUGCAGGUAUAGUGGUGGAACACAUUGUUUCCUUUCAAACCUAUAUCAAAUGGUGUUUUUUAAAUUCAUGUCAAGAGGUCACAGUGAACCUAACAAUGGCUGUUAACAGGAGACAUUUCUGGAAGCCAGGAAAUAUGCAUUGUCGCCGUAUCACAGACUAUCCAAUCUUCAUACACUUAGGUCAGGGAUGUUUGCUCUUGUUUUUCACUAUGAGAUUUUUCAGGUAGGUUUUCCAGGUAAGAAAUGAUAAUGUUUUACCAAUUCUAGAAACCAUGUUAUCCUGCCAAGAUUAUGUUUAACCAUGUGAGUGAUGAGCAAUUUUCAGAUAUCCAUGUAAUUAUCAUGGAGCUGCAAGUCAGAAAUAACCAUUUAUUUUUUGGCAGGUGAGCAUUCAAGAGAUAAUCGUAUCUUAACAAUGGCAUAGACCUUGGAGUACUGCGAGAUUCCAGGUAGAUUUCAUGAGUCCUGCAGCGAUGGUAGUAACAAGGUUAUUUUCAGGGUCCAGGUAAAAAAAGUGUGUCCAUUUAUUACAAUGUGUGUUUCAGGUUACUGUUAAGAGAUCAUGGUAAACCUCAUAGUCAUCAUUAAGGGGAUUUUAUUUGUGACCAGGUGAGUGAUGAUGUGGGCCUUUUGCAUGCUGCAGACCAUCAGGUACUCAGAAAUCUAGGUAGGUGUGGAUGGUAUUCCUAACUUCUGUGUUGCCAUUUCUUGGGCAGGUAUUCAGGUAAGAAAUGAUAUUGUCAACUAAAGCCGGUAAGCAUGAGCCCUUCUUAUAGAGUUUAUAUAUAAUGUUUGUUUAACCUUAGUAGUGGCUGAGGGAUUAUGUAGGUCUCCAGGUAGGUCAUUGUUUUGUCCAUCACAUCGUUAUUAACCAUGGCUUUUUGCAGUUAUAUUGUUGAGACAGGAUUGCGUCUCUAGGGUAUGGACCUUGAAUUUCUUCAUGUUUCCAGGUAGUUUUGAUGGACCCCCUAAAUUUGAUGGACUUCUGAAGAUAUUUAGGUUUUGCCUGUAUUCCUAACACAGUUUUUAUCAAAAAUUUUUAUAGAAUCCAAUCAAGACAUGAUCAUAUGAUGCCAGCCCAAUCCCAAAUUAAAUACUAUUGUCAGUCAAACCAUCCUCUCUUCACUGGUAUUUUUGUAGAUAUCCACUCUCUAUCCAAGGUCGUGACCUUGAGUUUUUAUAAGUAUAUGGCUAAAUUUAAUGGUUCCCCUUAAGUUUGUAGUGCUUAUAGGAUUUUCAAGUACCCAAGUUGCAGAAUUGUCCUUAUACUCUGUUGCCUCCUUGUUUUUUGUCCAGUUAAGACAUUGUUGGGAACUUCCAUAUGGUAUUGAAAGCAAAAUUUUGCUGGCAUCCAAGUAAGAUGGUGGUAUUUGUUCCAAAGUUAGAGUUCAGAAGGCUUUGAAGAUACCCAGGUAGACUAAUGAUGGUGUUCUUAAGCCAACAUAGUAACCAUAUUUACUUGCAAGCAUCCUGGUAAGUUGUGUUGACUAGCCAUGGUGGUGGUCCGAGGAAGUUUGCAAAUAUCCUGUCACACUAUGAAGGUGUCUCUAACUAAGGUAUUUUCCUUGGCAAUUUGCAGGUACCCAAGUAAGACUUGAUGGUGUCCCUAAUCAAGAGAAUGGCCAUGACAUUUUGCAGUUAUCGAGGCAAGAGGUGGUAUGUCCCUACCAUGAUCUUGAUCCUGGGCCUGACUGCGUGUUCAGGUUAAGAGAUCUUACUUGUCUGAUUAUGUAACUGCCCACAGGGAUUUUUGCUGCUCUGCAGGCAGAUGAUGACCUUUGAAAUUUGCAUGUAUCCAAGUAAGAGUUCAUAGGUCCCUUACCAUGCUAAUGGCCUUGGGAUCUAUCAUUUGUCCAGGUAAGGAAUGAUGUGUCCUUAAUCAUGUUAGUUACCAUAGGUUUUUGCAGGUAUCUAGAUAAGAGAUGAUGGUGGCCCUAACCAUGGUAUGGACCAUAGGAUUUUCUAGGUGUCCAGGUAAGAUUAUCAUCUAUCGACAACUAUGUUACUUAUCCUCAGAUUUUCUUAUGUAUUCUGGAAAGAGACAAUGGUAUUCCUAACAACACUGAUGACCUUAGGAUUUUGCAGAUACCCAUCAAGAGAUGAUGGCAUCUCUGUCAAUAUUGGUGUCUGUGGGAAGGAAAGAAAAUGGAAUACUUUUUUCGGUUAGCUAUGUAUUUGGUUAAAGGGAUUUUUAACAUUCAGUGACUGAUAAAUCUCAUUCACAAUCAUAUUUCCUUAUCUCAUUUACAAUCAUAUUGUCUUUAUUUGUUCAGUUUCUCCAUGAUGAUGUUGGUACCAGGCAUCUCAGGCCCACAUUUAUGAAAUUUUUUAAUUUCUAGGAACCAUCAACACAGAUAAAUUUCAUGUACAAUGUGGUUAUUCCUAAAGAAAAUUAGGCUAUAGAGCCACUUCUUAGUUAAAGGGUUGGGGCAACCAAGGGGAGAGGAUUACUGGUGUACAUAUUCUCGAGAAAAACAUUUGUGUUCUCACUUUCUUGAUGGAAUAGAUAUUAGAUGAUAUGUGAGAAAAAUAUGUGAAACAUGAUGUAGAUUAAUGGGGACUUGAAUAGCUCUUAUCCAAUUAAUUCAGUUAUUUAAUUGCUAUUUAGAUUAUACCAUUGAAACGUAGAAAAUGAGAGCCAAAGAACUUGGUAUUGAACUAGUCCAACACUACCACGAGUGGGAGAGCCCUGAGUGCAGAGAGGUUGAUCAAGGUCACACAAUUGUCUAGUUGUCAAGUGCUCUUCUACCACCUUGUUUUCUUUGUUCUGAAAGCCUGAGACCGGUUCAAAAGCAAUAAAGGCAAGUGCUCCAGUGCUUGUUUGAAUCAGUAUGUUUCAGGAAAUGCAUUUCCAAUCGGCCAGACUCUCCAUCGGGCACUUGGCUUUUUUGCUCAUGUAUUCAGUGUAAAAUUCUCCUUAGGGAAGCCCUGGGUCCUCCUCCUAAACCCCCAGCUACGUGUGUGUCUGGAGAAGGGAAGCAACCUUGUCUAAAUCGGUUCAGCCAAGUGGGAUCCCUGUGAAGUUCCCUUCUCCUCCCAGGUAACCACUCUGGGGUCCAUUUACAACCAUUGUAGGUCUGAGUAUGGAAUCGCUGCUCUGCAUCUUGACACCAUUGAACAUGUCAGGCCAAGACCCCUGUGUGAAGGCAAGAGAGCAAAAAACUCCAUUUCCCAGACUUCUUACAACAUGCAUUCGUGCACUGGAGUCCAUAGAAAAUGCAGUCAAGAGGACGGCGCAUGAGGAGAGACAGAAGAGGUAGAACAAACCGUGAUGAGCAAAGAACCUCCCUUUCUUUAUUGACAAGUUUUACUAUGAAGCAAAAAGAUGGAGAGAUGGCACUUUUGUAGGCACUUGGCUACUCAGCGGCUCAGUCUGGGUCCUCCAAGAAGCAGGCGCCAAGAUCAAAUGUGGAAUGAAAUGUGCUCGAGACGCACUGGGGAAGAUACCUGAGCAGGAGAAAGGAGAAGGCUGAUCCCAUCCACCCCAGCCUGAAGCAAAGCACCCCACCUCGCCAACCUGCACACCCAAGAGUGAGAAAUAAAGGCUUGUAACUGUAA